rnacentral:rRNA from 1 species
GACGAACCACACGAACGUUAUUCGGAAUUACUGGGCUUAAAGGGCGCGUAGGCGGCCCUCUAAGUCAGACGUGAAAUCCCUCGGCUCAACCGGGGAACUGCGUCUGAUACUGGAUGGCUUGAGUUUGGGAGAGGGACGCGGAAUUCCAGGUGUAGCGGUGAAAUGCGUAGAUAUCUGGAGGAACACCGGUGGCGAAGGCGGCGUCCUGGACCAACACUGACACUGAGGAGCGAAAGCCAGGGGAGCAAACGGG